ACACAACUGCUGCUGCUGCUCGAUCCGCACUACACAAUGUGAAGCUCAUAAAAGCCAUCCUCCGGGAAGACGGCAAACGACUACAAUAAUGGUUGCAGCACUGAGAGAAAUUACCAGCUUUGCGCUCGUUACUAUACACGUACUCCGGUCUCCGAUGUUAACCCAGUAUCCGAAUUUCGUUGAUUGCCGCUGACAGAAAACUAGCCGAGGACCCUAUCGCGCCGCAUGUGCCUUCGGUUGCUGCUGCGGAGUUCCCCAACCCAAGUUGGGAAAAGGAGGAAUAUUAUCCAGCUGACUGUGACGUUUACGACGUGUGAAAUAUUCAAAAUUUAUCGACAGGCCAUUCUCAGUCCCAUCUCAGUCAGUGGUGGUGCGCUGCCGCCGUAUGACGACAUGUUGUUCCGGAGUGGAAGGCCCCUUAAUUCCCAUACGCACAUAUUUCGGCAACAUUGUUUGUUUAACGGCCUUUGGGUUAAUGUUGUUUGCUGCACACAUAGAUAUAGAUUUGGCUGCGUAUGGUCCGGUUCGACAACUGCUAGCUAUAGACACACAAACGGAAAGGUGACGGACUGUGCAAAGAGGAGACUCACGUAACGGUUCAGUUGCCGGGUCCUGGGAAGCGGCAUUCUUCGGGUCCACAGGGACGUGUAAGGGUGAGAGGAGCGAUAAUUAAGCUAAAUGAUAUUGGAAAUGCUUCAACGGCAAUGUCAUUUGUGUCAAUUAUGGAACCGGAAUGAAUGGGGAAUAAGGGAGAAUGAGCGGAAGCACUGUCGAAUGCAAUGGUCCGGAAUACCUACCUGCUGCUGCUCGAAUGCUGCCGAAGCCGUACGGUUGAGCUAUCCGCCGAGAAUAGUAUAAUGAUUCGUUACGCGUCAUUUGGUGGUUAAACAUACAAUAAACUGAAUUGCUGAGUUGUACCUACUAUUUGGAAAUGGUAGAAAUUAUAAUCCACUUCCGGUGACAUAGCGAUGGGUUUCAGAAUGAAUUGAGCAAUGUUUAUAUGUUUAAAUAAACUCUUAAAAAAAGCAAGUAUGUUUCACAAAAAAUCAAAUGAAACCAACAAUGCGCCAUAAUUAAAUAAACAUGAUCCAUUUAAAUUAUCAAA